rnacentral:lncRNA from 1 species
UAAUGAUGGAGCUUACGAAUCAACAAUCCAUACCGUCAGAUAUAAUUUAAAGUAUUUAAACUUUUAGAAAAUAAAUUUCAUAAUUUUUCAAAAUUAUAAUAAAGUCCAUUAAGCGGGUAUAAAAUACAUCGUCAAAAUUGAAUGAUGUCUUAAAAAUAGAUGAUCGGAUUCUUCAAUUUAAGAUCAGAGUUAUUGAUUUUUGUCUAGAUAGUGAAUAAAUUUUUUUAUCAAAAAUUCAACCAAUUUUGAUUCUUUUACACUAUUAAACUAGUGAGUGUUCUAUACUGGACAUUAAAAACUAUCAAUUUUGAGAUUUUUUAAUCACAAGGUAAAUAAUAUUGAAAAAUUAUAAAAUUUGAUUUCUAAAAGUUUUAAAUACUCUAGAUAAUAUUUAGCUGUAUGAAUCAUCGAUUUGAAAGCUCUAUCAACGAAAAUAGCUUAUGAGGAUGCAGGCAAUCGUACUCAUAAGAAUAUAAUAGCUGGACUAUAUAUAUAUAUAGUGUGAGGCUACUAUGCUAUUGGAAGCACGAAGCCUUCCGUGCUUCCAGCUCGUUUUCGAUGUUGCGACUUUCGAAUCGUCAAUUGACUCCGUUAAACUUGAUCUAGAGUAUUUGAAGUACCUAGAAAAUAAAUUUGAUGAUUUUUCGACAUCAUUUGCCUAGUGAUCAAAGGAGCUCAAAAUCAAUAAUUUUAAUGGCCGUAGUGAACCGUUUGCAUGUUUAACGAUGUAGAAAUAUCCAAAUCACGUGAAAUUUUGAUAGAAAAUUCUUUAUACUAUAUAAAACAAGAUCAAUAUCUUUGAUCUAAAAUUUUAAUAUCAUAUUAUCACGUUUUGUAAGAUUUUUAUUUUCAGCCGUUGAUUUUGAGCCCCUUCGUUCACUAGGUAAUAAUAUCGAAAAAUCGCAUAAUUUAUUUUCUAGGUACUUCAAAUAUUCUAGAUCAAGUUUAACAGAGUCGAUCGACGAUUCGAAAGUCGCAACAUCGAAAACGAGCUGGAAGCACGGAAGGCUCCGUGUUUCUAGAAACUUUGAUUGCUAGGUAAAUGAUAUCGAAAAAUCGCAAAAAUUAUUUUCUAGAAACUUUAAAUACGCUAGAUCAAGUUUAACGGAACCGAUCGUCGAUUCGAAAACUCCAUCAUCGAAAACGGCUCAGGAGCACAGAGACCUCCGUGCUCCUGAGAGCACAGUAGCCUUGCUAUAUAUAUAUAUAUAUAUAUAUAUAUAUAGCACAAGACCUUAACGUACUUGUGAUUUUUUAGCCGUCAGAUCGCUUCAAGAUCCGUGAAGCACUAGUGUAAUGGGGCCUUAGUGGGACACUGUUAAUAGUACUGUAUGGAUUUUGAGGCGAUCCGACGGCUAAAAAGUCACAAGCACAAAUGUUCCUAUACUUUUAAAAGCACAGGAGCUCAACUCUCUAUACAUAUGCACGCACGCGCACACACAUACGUAUUGAGAGAGAGAGAGUGUGUGUGUGUUUGGCUUGUGCACUUUUAGAAGCAUGGUGGCCUCCGUGCUAUCAAAUUAUUUUUGAUGCUGUGACUUCUGAAUUGGCGAUCUGCUUCAUUAGACUUGAUCUAGAGUAUUGAAAGUAUAUAGAAAAUAAAUUUUAUGAUUUUUUAUUAUCAUUUACUUUGUGAUUGAAAGACUCAAAAUCAAUAUCUGAAAAUAAAAAUCUCACAAAAAGUGAUAAUAUAAUACUAAAAUUGUAGAUAAAAAACAUUAAUCUUGUUUUAUAUAGUAUAAAAAAAUUUUGUCAAAUUUCAUCUGAUUUUGAUAUUUCUACACCAUUAAACUUGCAAACGGCUCCCCACAACAACUAAAAUUGUGGAUUUUGGGUCCCUUCAAUCACUAGGUAGAUAAUAUUGAAAAUCGCAAAAUUUAUUUUCUAAAUAAUUCAUAUACUUUAGAUCAAGUCUAACAUAGUCGAUCGUCGAUUCAGAAUUUCCAGCAUCGAAAACGACUUGACAGUACGGAGGCCCUCUCUCUCUCUCUCUCUCUCUCUCUCCCUCCCUCCCUCCCUCUCAGUCACUCACUCACAAUCCGAUCGCACGAAAGUCUUUGUGCCANNNNNNNNNNNNNNNNNNNNNNNNNAAAGAGAGAGAUCUGGACAUAAAAACUAUCAUUUGGAGAUUUUUAAUCACAAGGUAAAUAAUAUUUGAAAAAUUAAAAUUUGAUUUCUAAAAGUUUUAAAUACUCUAGAUAAUAUUUACUGUAAGAUCAUGAUUGAAACUCUAUCAAAGAAAUAGCUUAUGAGGAUGCAGGCAACGUACUCAUAAGAAUAUAAUAGCUGGACUAUAUAAUAUAUAUAGUGUAGCUACUAUGCUGCUUGAAGCACGAAGCCUUCCGUGCUUCCGCUCGUUUUCGAUGUUGCGACUUUCGAAUCGUCAUUGACUCCGUUAAACUUGAUCUAGAGUAUUUGAAGUACCUAGAAAAUAAAUUUGAUGUUUUUCGACAUCAUUUGCCUAGUGAUCAAAGGAGCUAAAAUCAAUAAUUAAAAUGGCCGUAGUGAACCGUUUGCAUGUUUAACGAUGUAGAAAUAUACCAAUCACCGUGAAAUUUUGAUAGAAAAUUCUUUAUACUAUAUAAAACAAGUCAAUAUCUUUGAUCUAAAUUUUAAUAUCAUAUUAUCACGUUUUGUAAGAUUUUUAUUUUCAGCGUUGAUUUUGAGCCCCUUCGUUCACUAGGUAAUAAUAUCGAAAAAUCGCAUAAUUUAUUUCUAGGUACUUCAAAUAUUCUAGAUCAAGUUUAACAGAGUCGUCGACGAUUCGAAAGUCGCAACAUCGAAACAGACUGGAAGCACGGAACUGCCGUGUUUCUAGAAACUUUGAUUGCUAGGUAAAUGAUAUCGAAAAAUCGCAAAAAUUAUUUUCGAAAACUUUAAAUACGCUAGAUCAAGUUUAACGGAACGAUCGUCGAUUCGAAAACUCCAUCAUCGAAAACGCGCUCAGGAGCAAGAGACCUCCGUGCUCCUGAGAGCACAGUAGCCUUGCUAUAUAUAUA